GGGAAGAUGGCACUGAAAGACAGGGGUGUGGGUUUAUGGUUGAGGCCUUGCUGUUGGGGUGGGGAGAUUAGAAAAAAGUUUUCUGAGUAUUUUCCUCAAUCAAAUCUUAUGUCUUAGUAUUUUAAGAAGCACAAAACGGUGGACUAAUGGUAAGAACCCUGAGAAACCAUAGAAGAAAGACUAAUGAAAGAAAGCAACAUAGAGAGCAGAUUCUAUGGUAACAAAGAUGACAGAUUAAGACCGACAAAAGAAGGGGAUGACUAGAAACAAGGCAGCUGCUUUCAAGAAGUCCUGACGGUUGAAUUGUCUUCCCCAAGAUUCAGAUGUUGAAGUCCCAACUCAGAAUGGAUAUUUGAAGACAGGGUCUUCAAAGAGGUGAUUAAGUUAAUAUGAGGUCACGCAGGUGAGCCCUACGCCCUGUAAUUGUUCUGAUGAGAAGAAGUGAUCAGGACACAGACACAUACAGAGGGAAGAGCUUGUGAAGACACAGGGAGAAGGUUCCCAUCUAUAAGCCAAACAGAGCAGCUUCAGAAGGAAGUAACCCUACCAACAGCUUGAUCUUGGACUUCCAGCCUCUGCAAUUUGAUGGAGGAGCCUGGCAUGCUACAGUCCAUGGAGAGUCGGGCACGACUUAGAGCCUGAAGAGCAACAGAUGAAUCUCAGUCUCGCACACACUGGAGGAUGCACUGCUUUAGCCCAGUGGGUCUCAACCCUUGCUGCUUCAUAGAGCCACCUGGGAGCUUUCCAAGGCCUGGGGCAGGGCCUCUUAUCCAUUCUUCUUAAGAGCACUCAGGAUAAUGCUGUGCUGGGUCUUCGUUGCUGCUCGGGCUGCUCACUGUGGAGGCUUCUCUUGUGAAGCACAGUAGUUGCAGUCUCUGGGCUCUGGAGCACAGGGUCAGAAGUUGUGGCUUAGUUGCUCCAUGGCAUGUGGGAUCUUCCCGGACCAGGGAUCAAACCCACAUCUCUGUGGCAGAUUCUUUACCACUGAGCCACCAGGAAAGCCACUUGGUUCUUUCUUGUUUGGGGUCCAAAACUUAGUUUGGAUUCUUGGCUCUAGGAG
ensembl:lncRNA